UACGUAGGGUCCGAGCGUUGUCCGGAAUUAUUGGGCGUAAAGAGCUCGUAGGCGGUCUGUUGCGUCGGUUGUGAAAACCUGGGGCUCAACUCCAGGCCUGCAAUCGAUACGGGCAGACUAGAGUUCGGUAGGGGAGACUGGAAUUCCUGGUGUAGCGGUGAAAUGCGCAGAUAUCAGGAGGAACACCGGUGGCGAAGGCGGGUCUCUGGGCAGUAACUGACGCUGAGGAGCGAAAGCGUGGGGAGCGAACAGG
rnacentral:rRNA from 1 species